rnacentral:rRNA from 1 species
GACAGAGGUGCCGAGCGUUAGGCGGAAUCACUAGGCUUAAAGCGUGUGUAGGCGGGUCGUUAAGUACCUUGUGAAAUCCCCCGGCUCAACCGGGGAAUGGCUGGGUAUACUGGCGAUCUUGAGCGAUCCAGGGGCAGAUGGAACAAGUGGUGGAGCGGUGAAAUGCGUAGAUAUCACUUGGAACGCCAAAGGUGAAGACAGUCUGCUGGGGAUCUGCUGACGCUGAGACACGAAAGCCAGGGGAGCGAACGGG